rnacentral:lncRNA from 1 species
GACCGCUCACCUGCAGCGCUGCCCGCUGAUGCUCGGCCCCCGGGGCGCUGCCGGGCGGGGUCAACCGCGCAGCCCCGGGCUCCUGAACCGCAAAGCCAGGCGUGCCAGGCGCACCGAACCGCACUGCACCGCACGUCGCCACUUGCACCCCUCUGGUCGGUGUCACCAGGGAGGGCUGACGGCGGCUUACCCACGGGAGCUUACCCAAGACGGCACCAAUGGUAGAUCGGCAUAGUUUGGUGAAAUGGCCAGCCUGGUGUGCAAAGGGCCUGCCUACCCUGAGCGGAAGCAGACACCAGAAGACUUCAAUAUGCAGGGUUACUCCAGGAUAGCCAACUCCUAGUGUGUGGCUGCACCUGUUACACUCCACCUUUCCACACACCCACAACUGCAUCUGUUUGCACUUGUUUCCCAGCUGAUCGCCGGUCUACCUGAGAUGAGAUCCAGUCUCUCAAGGCUCCUGCCCUGACUCUGCUCAGUGAUGAACAGUGACGUGGAGGUGUAAGAUUAAAUAAAGCCCUUCCUUCCCAAGGUGGCUUCGGUCAGUGUUUGAUCACAGCAACAGAAAGCCAGCCAGGACACAGAUUGAUACCAGAGAGUGGAAUCUUUGACAACAGACCUGACACUCAGGAGCCAGCCAGGGGCUGGCGCUGUACACAGCAGGGAAGUCUUCCCACCUCAAUCACUACAACCAAGACAUUGUCCCACAAGCAUACCCAGAGCCCCACCUCCGAAGGCGAUUCUAGAUGCUGACAAUGUGACAGUCGACACUGUCCAUCACAGAGGACUCUCGCCAUUGCUUGCACUUCCUGGCACAGCUUCAGAAAGAGAAAAGGGGUCCAUGUAGGAAAUUGUAUCAGAGAGAAAGGAUCAGACAGACUCUUGGUCCUGAAGGGCAGAAGAUGGAUUUGCUUGGAGCUUGUCCUGCUGCCUAACUUCAAACAACUUCUGAAAUUAGAGUUUUCAAAGCACCC